UACGUAAGGCGCAAGCGUUGUCCGGAAUUAUUGGGCGUAAAGAGCUCGUAGGUGGCUUGUUGCGUCUGCCGUGAAAGCCCGUGGCUUAACUACGGGUCUGCGGUGGAUACGGGCAGGCUAGAGGCUGGUAGGGGCAAGCGGAAUUCCUGGUGUAGCGGUGAAAUGCGCAGAUAUCAGGAGGAACACCGGUGGCGAAGGCGGCUUGCUGGGCCAGUUCUGACGCUGAGGAGCGAAAGCGUGGGGAGCGAACAGG
rnacentral:rRNA from 1 species